UACGGGGGGGGGCAAGCGUUGUUCGGAAUUACUGGGCGUAAAGGGCUCGUAGGCGGCCAACUAAGUCAGACGUGAAAUCCCUCGGCUUAACCGGGGAACUGCGUCUGAUACUGGUUGGCUUGAGUGCAGGAGAGGAACGCGGAAUUCCAGGUGUAGCGGUGAAAUGCGUAGAUAUCUGGAGGAACACCAGUGGCGAAAGCGGCUUCCUGGUCCAGCACCGACGUUCAGGCACGAAAGCGUGGGGAGCAAACAGG
rnacentral:rRNA from 1 species